rnacentral:rRNA from 1 species
UACGUAGGGGGCAAGCGUUGUUCAGAAUUACUGGGCGUAAAGGGAGCGUAGGCGGAUAGUUUAGUCAGAGGUGAAAGCCCAGGGCUCAACCUUGGAAUUGCCUUUGAUACUGGCUAUCUUGAGUACGGAAGAGGUAUGUGGAACUCCGAGUGUAGAGGUGAAAUUCGUAGAUAUUCGGAAGAACACCAGUGGCGAAGGCGACAUACUGGUCCGUUACUGACGCUGAGGCUCGAAAGCGUGGGGAGCAAACAGG